GAUUAACGCUAGCGGAAGGCAUAAUACAUGCAAGUCGAACGGGAUAGGUUUUAGCAAUAGAACCUUGAGAGUGGCGCACGGGUGCGUAACACGUAUGCAACCUACCUUUAACUGGGGGAUAGCCUCUCGAAAGAGAGAUUAAUACCCCAUAACAUAAUGAGAUAGCAUUAUUUUAUUAUUAAAGAUUUAUUGGUUAAAGAUGGGCAUGCGGCUGAUUGGGUAGUUGGUGAGGUAAUGGCUCACCAAGCCGACGAUCAGUAGGUGGUCUGAGAGGAUGUCCCCCCACACUGGUACUGAGACACGGACCAGACUCCUACGGGAGGCAGCAGUAGGGAAUAUUGGUCAAUGGGGGCAACCCUGAACCAGCCAUUCCGCGUGCAGGAAUAAGGCCCUAUGGGUCGUAAACUGCUUUUGUAUGGGAAAAAAUCACUUUACGUGUAAGGUGUUGAUGGUACCAUGAGAAUAAGGAUCGGCUAACUUCGUGCCAGCAGCCGCGGUAAUAC
rnacentral:rRNA from 1 species